ACUCUCGGCAACGGAUAUCUCGGCUCUCGCAUCGAUGAAGAACGUAGCGAAAUGCGAUACUUGGUGUGAAUUGCAGAAUCCCGUGAACCAUCGAGUUUUUGAACGCAAGUUGCGCCCGAAACCAUCAGGUUGAGGGCACGUCUGCCUGGGCGUCACGA
rnacentral:rRNA from 1 species